GCUGCCGGCUUUAUUCCCAGGCUCCCGGGCUGCGCGAGCGGCCGCCGAGGAAGUAGAAACACACAGCUUUGUCUGAGUUUAGAAGGAGCAACUGAGGUGGGUAUUAGAGAAUGGGUCUCAAAGGUUUUUCAGGUAUGACUAAGCAGGAAGAUACUUAGGGCUGGGUUCCCCAUCCCUUACCUCACCCCCCCACCCCCAAACCUCCUAUCCCAGAACAAGCAGGUGUUUGUGCUCAGAGUUGACUUGAAAGGAUGACUGAGUGAAUUGCAGUUCCUGGCUGGGAACUUGGGGGAGGGACAGGGCAGAUGGUCCAGAUUUCAUAUGAGUUGGGCUCUCAUUUAGCUGAUUAAUUUUGUUUAGUUUUUAACGGAAACCUGUGGUGUAAUAUAAGAUUCUAAUCACUGUCUAAUUACAAAGCAGGAUAAAUCACCAAACAACCUUGUUUAAAAGUAUCUCAAAAUCUGAAAUGUUAUAAAAUAGGAUAAUUACCAAUAGGGCAGAGACCUGCUGUAGAGAGAAUUUCCCCAGGGCAAAAGGAUGAGGGGGCUUCAGAAUCCAUUGAGAUUUGUUUACAAAACAUGUU
rnacentral:lncRNA from 1 species